rnacentral:misc_RNA from 1 species
UGCGUCAUGGUGGUGGGAGCCCUUGAGAGGGCAGAACCAUUAGCGGGUGGGAGGUGACCACUGUCAUCUGAAAGGGAUUCUAAGCUCAGCUCCUGGAACUCCGGACAAACAACUACCAGCUUUCAGAUGAACUACGCAAGAAUGGUGUUGAACUCACCAGUCUUCGACAGAAGGUCGCCUACUUGGAUAAGGAGUUCAGCAAAGCUCAGAAGGCACUGAGCAAGAGCAAGAAAGCUCAGGAAGUCGAGGUAUUGCUGAGUGAAAAUGAGAUGCUGCAGGCAAAGCUGCACAGCCAGGAGGAGGACUUCCGUUUGCAGAACAGCACACUAAUGGCCGAGUUCAGCAAGCUCUGCAGCCAGAUGGAACAGCUGGAGCAAGAGAACCAGCAACUGAAGGAGGGGGCUGCAGGAGCAGGGGUUGCCCAAGCUGGGCCCCUCGUGGAUGGGGAGCUGCUGAGGCUACAGGCUGAAAACACAGCCUUGCAGAAGAACGUGGCAGCCCUGCAGGAACGCUAUGGGAAAGAAGCCGGGAAGUUCUCAGCUGUCAGUGAGGGCCAGGGGGAUCCCCCAGGGGGCCUGGCCCCCACCGUCCUGGCCCCCAUGCCGUUGGCAGAGGUGGAGCUGAAAUGGGAAAUGGAGAAAGAGGAGAAGAGAUUGCUCUGGGAACAGCUGCAAGGCUUAGAGAGCUCAAAGCAGGCCGAAACAUCCAGGCUGCAGGAGGAACUUGCUAAGCUCUCCGAGAAACUGAAAAAGAAACAAGAAAGUUUUUGCCGUCUGCAGACAGAAAAGGAGACUCUGUUUAAUGACAGCAGGAACAAGAUUGAGGAAUUACAACAACGGAAGGAAGCUGAUCACAAAGCCCAGUUGGCUCGAACCCAGAAGCUGCAGCAGGAACUUGAGGCUGCCAAUCAGAGCUUGGCAGAGCUGAGAGAUCAGCGGCAGGGGGAGCGCCUGGAACAUGCAGCAGCUUUGCGGGCCCUACAAGAUCAGGUAUCCAUCCAGAGUGCAGAUGCACAGGAACAAGUGGAAGGGCUUUUGGCUGAGAACAAUGCCUUGAGGACUAGCCUGGCUGCCCUGGAGCAGAUCCAAACAGCAAAGACCCAAGAACUGAAUAUGCUCCGGGAACAGACCACUGGGCUGGCAGCUGAGUUGCAGCAGCAGCAGGCUGAGUACGAGGACCUUAUGGGACAGAAAGAUGACCUCAACUCCCAGCUCCAGGAGUCAUUACGGGCCAAUAGUCGACUGCUGGAACAACUUCAAGAAAUAGGGCAGGAGAAGGAGCAGUUGACCCAGGAAUUACAGGAGGCUCGGAAGAGUGCGGAGAAGCGGAAGGCCAUGCUGGAUGAGCUAGCAAUGGAAACGCUGCAAGAGAAGUCCCAGCACAAGGAAGAGCUGGGAGCAGUUCGUCUACGGCAUGAGAAGGAGGUGCUGGGGGUGCGUGCCCGCUAUGAGCGUGAGCUCCGAGAGCUGCAUGAAGACAAGAAGCGUCAGGAGGAGGAGCUCCGUGGGCAGAUCCGGGAGGAGAAGGCCCGGACACGGGAGCUGGAGACUCUCCAGCAGACAGUGGAAGAACUUCAAGCUCAGGUACAUUCCAUGGAUGGAGCCAAGGGCUGGUUUGAACGGCGCUUGAAGGAAGCCGAGGAAUCCCUGCAGCAGCAGCAGCAGGAACAAGAGGAAGCCCUCAAGCAGUGUCGGGAGCAGCACGCUGCCGAGCUGAAGGGCAAGGAGGAGGAGCUACAGGAUGUACGGGAUCAGCUCGAGCAGGCCCAGGAGGAGCGGGACUGCCACCUGAAGACCAUUAGCAGCCUGAAGCAGGAGGUGAAGGACACAGUGGAUGGGCAGAGGAUCCUGGAGAAGAAGGGCAGUGCUGCGCUCAAGGACCUCAAGCGGCAGCUGCAUUUGGAGCGGAAACGGGCAGAUAAGCUGCAGGAGCGACUGCAGGACAUCCUCACUAACAGCAAGAGCCGCUCAGGCCUUGAGGAGCUGGUUCUCUCAGAGAUGAACUCACCAAGCCGGACCCAGACAGGGGACAGCAGUAGCAUCUCCUCCUUCAGCUACCGGGAGAUCUUGCGGGAAAAGGAGAGCUCGGCUGUUCCAGCCAGGUCCUUAUCCAGCAGCCCUCAAGCCCAGCCCCCUCGGCCAGCAGAGCUGUCAGAUGAGGAAGUGGCUGAGCUCUUUCAGCGGCUGGCAGAGACACAGCAGGAGAAAUGGAUGCUGGAGGAGAAGGUGAAGCACCUGGAAGUGAGCAGUGCUUCCAUGGCAGAGGACCUCUGCCGGAAGAGCGCCAUCAUUGAGACCUACGUCAUGGACAGCCGGAUCGAUGUGUCUGUGGCAGCAGGCCACACAGACCGCAGCGGGCUGGGCAGCGUCCUGAGAGACCUAGUGAAGCCAGGUGACGAGAACCUUCGGGAGAUGAACAAGAAGCUGCAGAACAUGCUGGAGGAGCAGCUCACCAAGAAUAUGCACUUGCACAAGGAUAUGGAAGUUCUGUCCCAGGAAAUUGUGCGGCUCAGCAAGGAGUGCGUGGGGCCUCCUGACCCAGACCUAGAGCCAGGAGAAACCAGCUAAAGACCUGCAGGCUGCACCCACCUCCUCCCCUUCCUACCCCCUAGGAUGCUAUUCCCUUGGGCUGUGGUGGAAAAAUGAGGGCUGGAGCCAAAAUCAAAUAGCUUGGGAGACUGGACAUUAAAGGGGCUAGAGGCCUGAUGGUUAGUGUUAAUGAUCCUGUCUUAGGGCAGAGGCCACCAGGGAGUGGGGAUCCUGAGGGAAGGGGCAGGGAUUUCUCCUUCUUCUUGGUCCUGGCUCCCAAGGGCUUCUGUCUUCAUCUCUGCAUGAGCUCUCCUUCCCAGAGACCAACUCUUUUUAUUUUAUUUUAUUUUAUUUUUUAAUUUAUGUCUGGAGCCUGGCUACUCUGCAUUUGGGAUUGGGGAUGC